UACCCGCAGCACAAGUGGUGGUCAUUAUUAUUGGGCCUAAAGCGUCCGUAGCUUGCGUGUUAGAUGCCUGGGUAAAUCGAUGGGCUUAACCCAUCGAAUUCCGGGUAGACCGGCACGCUCGAGACCGGGAGGGGUGUAGGGUACUCGGGGGGUAGGGGUAAAAUCCUGUAAUCCUCCGGGGACGACCAGUGGCGAAGGCGCUACACUAGAACGGCUCUGACAGUGAGGGACGAAGCCCUGGGGCGCAAACCGG
rnacentral:rRNA from 1 species